rnacentral:sRNA from 1 species
UAUUCAUUUUAGCCGAAACUACAACAACAGUGCGGGGGAUGAUUUGCAGGACAACGGCUCUGGACGAAAUCGAUCGUCGAGCGGCGUUUCCUAGGGGUGAAUCGCAGCGUUUCAGCGCGAAGGGUUGUUCCUCAACCCUAACCCGACAACUAACCUCGUAGGCAAAAGGAGGAAAUGC